AGAGCUGCACCGCCCUCUCCAUCCCUCCAGGCGCCCUGUGGUUCGCUGAGUCUGCGCCUAGUCUGGCGCUCUUUGGGGUCUCCGGUUUCCUCCCAGUCGCGCAUCCAGUGGGGGCCUAAAAGCUCAAGAGUGUCACAGCUUCCCCUCCCGGGAUCUAAGGUCCUAACUAAGGGAAUCCCCUCACCUCUCCCCACUGGGGCGCAGUCUGACGUGCUCGCUGCUCAGAGCACGCACACAGCUACCGGUUAAUUUAAUUUCUUCUAUUUUUAAUGAAAUGAGUGUCCUCUGUCAGGGUCCACAUCUGUACUGGUGGAAUUAGGUUGAAGUCUUUCAUGGAACUACCCUCCGGGUUCUGCAGUCACAGGAGCCCCUGGCACUCGCCUUUCCCAGGGACAGAUGCUGAGCUCCACUUCAUCGGAAUGCUAAGUGUCCACAGCAUUGCUUUAAGGCUGCCGUCAGAAGUUGUGGCCCAGGUUAAAGUUGGAUCCUCCUACCUUAAGAAAUCCAGAGAAGGGGCUGGUGAGAUGGCUCAGCAGAUCCCAUCUCUGCAUCUGUACUGCUGUAAGGAAAUGCCUGUGCUGAAGGCACUGCGUGUUUGUGUGCUGACUCUUCACAAUCACUGGAGAAAAUCUUCAAGGAGGAAUGCGUAGCUCUAAACAGUGACAGCUGCUUAUGCUCUGAGCACAGAUGGGAAGUCUAUUUCCUUUUCAGCCAGAGCCUCACUCUGCCCUAAGGACAGAUACGUAAGGGACAGACUCCUCCUAGCCCUCUUCCCACAUCCACAAAGGACUUGCCAGUGAAGACACCUUCUCCCCUCCUUUUGAAUAAGCCUUCCAGUCUCCCAGGUUUGCAUCCCUCCCAUGACGCCAGGGCCACUUCACAGCAUCUCCUCUAUACUCUCACAUGAAUCUCAAAAGCCACAUGUCUAAUUACCCCCCCUGGAUCUUUUCAUCUCACCAUACUAAAAACUCAACCUAUCCUCUACAAGACAAGACAAGACAAGACAAGACAAGACAAGACAAGACAAGACAAGACAAGACAAGACAAGACAAGACAGACAAGACAAGACAAAACACAAUAUAAGUCCAUUUUAAGGGUCUCAGGGUUUUGAGGGGGAAUAGAAGAGAACCAGGGUCUCAUCUUUGUGAAUGUGGGGGAAGGGUAAAUGCUAAAUAUUUUUACAGGUUUAAGUGUACCAAAUCAACAUAAUUAAAAGACAAACUAGGGGGCAAGCAAUUCAAUUAUGUCAUGGGGUACCUGAAGAGAAAAACUCCUGAGAAAGUCCUGAAUAAAUUGAAUGGAGCCUUUAUUAGCUACUCACAGGACUGUCCCAAGCAGAUUAACAGGAAAACCUGCAGUUAUGAUGUGUACAGAGAGACUGCUCUAGACAUCUGCAACGAGCAAGCCUUGUUUAUAGAAGUGGAGUAGUAACAGUGAAAUGGCCAGGCAGUCAAUCUCUAGUUCUGGAUCAUAUCAUAUAGGAAUUUAGGGCUGGUCCAGAGGGGCCAGUUUUACCGAUACUUUUAGCACUUGAAGUAUUCUUAGGAAUAACUUUAUGAGAUAGCAUAACUAUAGUUUAAUAGCCUACUACAUUAACACUUGUAAAUGAAUAAAAAUAAACAUAUUAGUCUGUAAAUAUGUGUUGAGGGAUGAGUUCUAUUUCAUACUGAAAAUGGACCACCUAAACAGUGAAGGUGCUUUCUACUAAUCUGGUAACUUGAGGUUGAUUCUGGAACUCACAAGGAAGAAAUUUGAAAACCAACUCCCACAAGUUGCAUACACACACCCCCCCAUAACUGUGCACACAAAGAAAUAAUAAAUGUCAAACAAAGGCAUGGGGCCAAGUGGCUUAAGAGAGACGACCAUCACACAGAAGCCUAGAGCCAUAAUAAUGAUGGGUUUAGCUACUUCAUCUACCACACUUCCUGUUGACUCCUUUCUUCCUGUGCUCUGGUGCUGGAACUCUACUGGCCCAGUAGAGAGUCAAAGUCUUAGCUUGGAGAUGGCAGAGAUGAUGGACAUGAUGGAGAUGGAGAUGACAGAGAAAACAUACUUCAGCAUUGAUGAGUAUCUGCUGAAGGAAGGCAUGCUGGGGAGACUAAUGAAACCACUCAGAUGAUAUAAAGUCGCCUUGAAGAUGGAUCUCUGCGCAUUCUUAUGAGGAGACGAUCUUGACUGAGUUGACUGAAGUGGCAAGACCUGACCACUGGGGAUGACAUCAUCCCUUGGGAUGAGAACUAGGAUCUACAUAAAGAGGGAAGUGAGCUGCACUCAGAAAUCCAUGGCCCUCUGAACCCUAAGGAUGGAUGCCACAUGACCAGCUACUCUAAGCACUGGCUGCUCCAACUCCCCUGCCUUCGUGGACAAGACCCUUGCACUGUGAGCUGAAAUAACCCCCAUCUCCCUCGACUGCUUUUGUCAACUGCUUUUGUUUUAUCAAAGCAACAGGAAAAGAAAGUAGCAUGGCAUUCAAUUUAUCAGCAGUAAAUGUUACUGGUAAUUGUACUUUCUUUUUUCAUUUCUGGAUAUCAAGUCUAAGUACUCACUCAUUCUAAAUAAGCCAUCUUCUUCCAAGUUACCGUCCCUUGCCUGACAUUUUUAUGAAACAUUUCUAUGGCAUUUUCCCCCAUAGCCCAAUGUUUCUAUUUAAGGUUUUAUUUAAGUAUUUCCUUUAAGGUUCAACUUUCCCUCUACCAUUUUGGUUUUUUUUUUCCUCCAAAAUGGCCCUUUGUUUUCUUUUUUCACAUUCUUUUCUUCCUAUGCCCAGCUGUAUGCAAAUGAUACAAGCAUUCGUGUUUCUAUUUGAAUGUCUUAUCUGAGUUCCAAUGUCAAUAUGUCAAUAUCUGAAGGGCUGCAUUAUAUCCUUUGAACAUUUCAGUGAUAAGUCACAUGUGGUAUGCCCAAAAAAGAUCUCGUGUCACCCCCCCCCCCCACCUCCCUCAUCUAAUCUGCUUGUCUUUGGACUCCUUUCCAGUAAAUUAUAGCAUGAUACUUUCAUUAUUUUACUUUCAAGUGUUGCAUUUGUGUAAUUUCUCUUCUCUAUACGACCUGCAUCUAGCCAUGAUCUCUCUUUGUUACAUCUUCUCUCUUUUCCUCUUGUCUGUUCACCAUUUCAUCCCAAGCAAUUAGUUUUAGUAAAAUAUUGACAAGCCAAUGCUUUCAGACAAUUCUUAGGAAAACAGGAGAAAAAAGUAUUAUAAUCACAACACUUGGCAGACUGAGUCAGGAUGUUUAUCAGGAGUCCAAGGCCAGUGUAGGCUUCAGAGUGAGACUGUGUCCAAAGAUAAAAUAAGGAUCUAGAUAGAUGGCUCAGGGAGUAAGAAUACAGGUUUCUCUUAGAGAGGGUCUGUUAUGUCCCAGCAUGUUCAUGAUAGCUUGUAACCAUUCAUAAUUUCAGUGCUGGGAAGUGAUCCCAGGUUCUUCUGCGAGAUCAGCAAGUGAUCUUAACAACUGAGCAAACUACCCACACCCAUUGUUACCAUUUAUUUAUUUACCAAAUGAAGAAUUUAUAUCCUUUAGGUAUCUGUAUAAAAAAAUUCAAGAAUCUUAAUUGUAACUCCUAUGUCAUUACAGAGGUUUUCCUUUUUAUCCUCUUUUAAAGGAUACACUUAUUUUUAAUGUAUUGUACGUAUGAGUGCCUGCAUGUAUGUAUAUACACCAUAUGUCGGUCAGAUACCUGAGGAAGCCAGAAGAGCAUACCAGGUCCCCUGGAGCUGGAAUCACAAACAAUCCUGUUAGCAUGUAGGUGCUGAGAACCAAACCCAGGUUCUCUCAAAAGCAAUAAGCACUCUUACUGAAUGAAGAAUCUGUUUAGCCCCUGUUUGUCUUCUUAAGGGUCCCAUGGCAGUUGCCCUGUAUGCUUAUUUGUGACUACAUAUGCAAGGAACAUCACUACAACUAGAAUGCAUGCUUCAUCAAAAAGACCCUCCUGUAGAAUCUUGUGUUUGAAAGCUACAUCUGCUGUAAGACCAUUAGAGAAGAGAAGACUCACUUCAGUUCAAUGGUUUGUAUUCAGAAGUCCAGGAUUGAGAACUAAGUAAACAAUGGUGGCCCUUAAAGAGAUAGAGUGUUUUUCACAGUGCUGUAUAUUCCACCAUAGUCAUCUUGUAUUGCAUUAAUCAGAAUCAAGAAUUUAUGACUGAGAAGCACAUCAUUGCCAUAAUUGCAUUAACUGUAAAGACAAUUUUAGUGACAUGACACUGUCACAGACAAAGCAAACCCACAGAUAUAGUAUAGCAGAUUAUGAAGACUUAGAUUGGAGUCUGACUCUCUGGUAGUCUUUAGCUUAGG
rnacentral:lncRNA from 1 species